rnacentral:rRNA from 1 species
UAUGAACGCUGGCGGCGUGCCUAAUACAUGCAAGUCGAGCGAACAGACGAGGAGCUUGCUCCUCUGACGUUAGCGGCGGACGGGUGAGUAACACGUGGAUAACCUACCUAUAAGACUGGGAUAACUUCGGGAAACCGGAGCUAAUACCGGAUAAUAUAUUGAACCGCAUGGUUCAAUAGUGAAAGACGGUUUUGCUGUCACUUAUAGAUGGAUCCGCGCCGCAUUAGCUAGUUGGUAAGGUAACGGCUUACCAAGGCGACGAUGCGUAGCCGACCUGAGAGGGUGAUGGGCCACACUGGAACUGAGACACGGUCCAGACUCCUACGGGAGGCAGCAGUAGGGAAGCUUCCGAAAUGGGCGAAAGCCUGACGGAGCAACGCCGCGUGAGUGAUGAAGGUCUUCGGAUCGUAAAACUCUGUUAUUAGGGAAGAACAAAUGUGUAAGUAACUAUGCACGUCUUGACGGUACCUAAUCAGAAAGCCACGGCUAACUACGUG